rnacentral:rRNA from 1 species
CUUUGGGGUGUGACUGCGUACCUUUUGUAUAAUGGGUCAGCGACUUAUAUUCUGUAGCAAGGUUAACCGUAUAGGGGAGCCGGAGGGAAACCGAGUCUUAACCGGGCGUUAAGUUGCAGGGUAUAGACCCGAAACCCGGUGAUCUAGCCAUGGGCAGGUUGAAGGUUGGGUAACACUAACUGGAGGACCGAACCGACUAAUGUUGAAAAAUUAGCGGAUGACCUGUGGCUGGGGGUGAAAGGCCAAUCAAACCGGGAGAUAGCUGGUUCUCCCCGAAAGCUAUUUAGGUAGCGCCUCGUGAACUCAUCUCCGGGGGUAGAGCACUGUUUCGGCUAGGGGGCCAUCCCGGCUUACCAACCCGAUGCAAACUGCGAAUACCGGAGAAUGUUAUCACGGGAGACACACGGCGGGUGCUAACGUCCGUCGUGAAGAGGGAAACAACCCAGACCGCCAGCUAAGGUCCCAAAGUCAUGGUUAAGUGGGAAACGAUGUGGGAAGGCCCAGACAGCCAGGAUGUUGGCUUAGAAGCAGCCAUCAUUUAAAGAAAGCGUAAUAGCUCACUGGUCGAGUCGGCCUGCGCGGAAGAUGUAACGGGGCUAAACCAUGCACCGAAGCUGCGGCAGCGACGCUGAUGCGUUGUUGGGUAGGGGAGCGUUCUGUAAGCCUGCGAAGGUGGCCUGUGAGGGUUGCUGGAGGUAUCAGAAGUGCGAAUGCUGACAUAAGUAACGAUAAAGCGGGUGAAAAGCCCGCUCGCCGGAAGACCAAGGGUUCCUGUCCAACGUUAAUCGGGGCAGGGUGAGUCGACCCCUAAGGCGAGGCCGAAAGGCGUAGUCGAUGGGAAACGGGUUAAUAUUCCCGUACUUGGUGUUACUGCGAAGGGGGGACGGAGAAGGCUAUGUUGGCCGGGCGACGGUUGUCCCGGUUUAAGCGUGUAGGUGUGUGUUCCAGGUAAAUCCGGUUCACUUUAACACUGAGGCGUGAUGACGAGGCACUACGGUGCUGAAGCAACAAAUGCCCUGCUUCCAGGAAAAGCCUCUAAGCAUCAGGUAACAUCAAAUCGUACCCCAAACCGACACAGGUGGUCAGGUAGAGAAUACCAAGGCGCUUGAGAGAACUCGGGUGAAGGAACUAGGCAAAAUGGUGCCGUAACUUCGGGAGAAGGCACGCUGACA